UACGUAGGGUGCAAGCGUUAAUCGGAAUUACUGGGCGUAAAGCGUGCGCAGGCGGUGAUGUAAGACAGAUGUGAAAUCCCCGGGCUCAACCUGGGAACUGCAUUUGUGACUGCAUCGCUGGAGUGUGGCAGAGGGGGGUGGAAUUCCACGUGUAGCAGUGAAAUGCGUAGAGAUGUGGAGGAACACCGAUGGCGAAGGCAGCCCCCUGGGCUAACACUGACGCUCAUGCACGAAAGCGUGGGGAGCAAACAGG
rnacentral:rRNA from 1 species